rnacentral:rRNA from 1 species
GACGAACGCUGGCGGCGUGCUUAACACAUGCAAGUCGAACGGAAAGGCCCUGCUUUUGUGGGGUGCUCGAGUGGCGAACGGGUGAGUAACACGUGAGUAACCUGCCCUUGACUUUGGGAUAACUUCAGGAAACUGGGGCUAAUACCGGAUAGGAGCUCCUGCUGCAUGGUGGGGGUUGGAAAGUUUCGGCGGUUGGGGAUGGACUCGCGGCUUAUCAGCUUGUUGGUGGGGUAGUGGCUUACCAAGGCUUUGACGGGUAGCCGGCCUGAGAGGGUGACCGGCAACAUUGGGACUGAGAUACGGCCAAGACUCCUACGGGAGGCAGAAGUGGGGAAUAUUGAACAAUGGGCGGAAGCCUGAUGCAGCAACGCCGCGUGCGGGAUGACGGCCUUCGGGUUGUAAACCGCUUUCGCCUGUGACGAAGCGUGAGUGACGGUAAUGGGUAAAGAAGCACCGGCUAACUACGUG